rnacentral:tRNA from 1 species
UCCGGCGUAGCUCAGUGGUAGAGCAGGUGGCUGUUAACCACUUGGUCGUAGGUUCGAAUCCUACCGCCGGAG